rnacentral:tRNA from 1 species
GCCUGGCUGGCUCAGUUGGUAGAGGAUAUGACUCUUGAUCUUGGGGUCGUGAGUUCAAACCCCAUGUUGGGUG